rnacentral:rRNA from 1 species
CCUACGGGUGGCAGCAGUAGGGAAUCUUCCGCAAUGGACGAAAGUCUGACGGAGCAAUGCCGCGUGAGUGAUGAAGGCCUUAGGGUCGUAAAACUCUGUUGUUAGGGAAGAAUAGGUAUCGGAGUAAUAUGCCGGUACUUUGACGGUACCUUACCAGAAAGCCCCGGCUAACUACGUGCCAGCAGCCGCGGUAAUACGUAGGGGGCGAGCGUUGUCCGGAAUUAUUGGGCGUAAAGGGCACGCAGGCGGUCUUCUAAGUCUGAUGUGAAAUCUCGUGGCUUAACCACGAGCGGUCAUUGGAAACUGGGAGACUUGAGUACAGAAGAGGAGAGUGGAAUUCCACGUGUAGCGGUGAAAUGCGUAGAGAUGUGGAGGAACACCAGUGGCGAAGGCGGCUCUCUGGUCUGUAACUGACGCUGAGGUGCGAAAGCGUGGGG